rnacentral:lncRNA from 1 species
CAAGUGGGACACAUCCUUGCCCUCUGCAGCUCUCAGUCACGCUGGGGAGACCAACAGGAAGCCAACUAUGGUGUGCUUCAAAACAGAAUGAAAUUGGAGAGGGGGAUCCAAGCAAAGGGUCCCGGCAGACAGAUGAAGAAGGUGGUUGUGGAAAGCUUCAUGGAGAGAGACCCUUGCCUGGCCCUGAAGAACUGCUGUAUUUAAAUGGAUACGAAAGUCAGGGCAAUGAAUGGGGGCUCAGACCAGGAGUUGGAUGGACCCAUUAUCAAUUCACAAAAGUUCAACUACAUUCGACUACUUCAAGGAGAAAAAUUAUGUAAAGCAAUAAUCACGAUUAUCAAGAGAAAAAAAUUGUGAAUUGUGAGCAACCUGGGGACAAAAACUCAAACUUGUUUUAUCUUCAGUUCCUGACACAGCAACUCAUAGGCAUUAAGAACUCAGUGAAUAUUGAAUGGAAGAACAAACCAAGAAAUGAAUGAAGGAGUGAGUGAACGAGUGACUAUAUUAAGCAUUAGUUAAUAAGAGAUGAGGAAAAGGAAGCUGUCAUUGAGUGUCCACUGUGUGUCAAAUUCUGUGCUAAUUGUUUAAAUCUAUUCAUCAAUAAAAAGAAAUUUCCCAUUUGA